AAUCCAUAGGUUAAUGAGGCGAACCGGGGGAACUGAAACAUCUAAGUACCCCGAGGAAAAGAAAUCAACCGAGAUUCCCCCAGUAGCGGCGAGCGAACGGGGAGGAGCCCAGAGCCUGAAUCAGCAUGUGUGUUAGUGGAAGCGUCUGGAAAGGCGCGCGAUACAGGGUGACAGCCCCGUACACAAAAGCGCAUGUGCUGUGAGCUCGAUGAGUAGGGCGGGACACGUGGUAUCCUGUCUGAAUAUGGGGGGACCAUCCUCCAAGGCUAAAUACUCCUGACUGACCGAUAGUGAACCAGUACCGUGAGGGAAAGGCGAAAAGAACCCCGGCGAGGGGAGUGAAAAAGAACCUGAAACCGUGUACGUACAAGCAGUGGGAGCACCCUUUGGGUGUGACUGCGUACCUUUUGUAUAAUGGGUCAGCGACUUAUAUUCUGUAGCAAGGUUAACCGAAUAGGGGAGCCGGAGGGAAACCGAGUCUUAACCGGGCGUUAAGUUGCAGGGUAUAGACCCGAAACCCGGUGAUCUAGCCAUGGGCAGGUUGAAGGUUGGGUAACACUAACUGGAGGACCGAACCGACUAAUGUUGAAAAAUUAGCGGAUGACCUGUGGCUGGGGGUGAAAGGCCAAUCAAACCGGGAGAUAGCUGGUUCUCCCCGAAAGCUAUUUAGGUAGCGCCUCGUGAAUUCAUCUCCGGGGGUAGAGCACUGUUUCGGCUAGGGGGCCAUCCCGGCUUACCAACCCGAUGCAAACUGCGAAUACCGGAGAAUGUUAUCACGGGAGACACACGGCGGGUGCUAACGUCCGUCGUGAAGAGGGAAACAACCCAGACCGCCAGCUAAGGUCCCAAAGUCAUGGUUAAGUGGGAAACGAUGUGGGAAGGCCCAGACAGCCAGGAUGUUGGCUUAGAAGCAGCCAUCAUUUAAAGAAAGCGUAAUAGCUCACUGGUCGAGUCGGCCUGCGCGGAAGAUGUAACGGGGCUAAACCAUGCACCGAAGCUGCGGCAGCGACACUGUGUGUUGUUGGGUAGGGGAGCGUUCUGUAAGCCUGUGAAGGUGUGUCGU
rnacentral:rRNA from 1 species